AGCCAGGGUUGUACCGGCAGGAUCAUGACAGAGUUUCUCUGACUGAUCACUUCGAACCGACCUGUUUCCAGACUUAGCAGAAAGCGUUGCAUACACAAGUGUACUUAGGCAGCAGCUGAAACCAGUUGCAGUCCUGACUAUUUUUCCUAUGGGGACCUCAAUUGGCAGCAAGAGAACUAAAUCUCACAGCUGGCACGGUGCUGUGGUGAAGCUGUGCAGACAAGAACUGCUACUUGGCUGCUUGUUAUCAUCACUGUCAGGUUCCAACCUUCUGAUAUCCUGAAACGUACAAUUUGACAAUGCCAACUACAGUCGGGUGCUCCUGUGCAUGGGAAUUGUCCUCCUCUGCAUAAUUCAGCACAUUGCUCGCCAUUUCAUAUCAUGUGUAGUGUGCUAUUGUUCAAUUGCAAUGUCACUUCUGGUAGUCCUUGUGGUGGAUAGAGUAACCACACCGUGAUGUCUUGCACUUCAGAUGGCUGGCCAGAGCUGUGACCAAAGGGUGGAGGAUGCCUGUCAUGGCGGCAACCCCAAGCCCAUUUGUGGACACUGACAGUGUUUGUUUACACACUUAUGUCACGCGUAGGCCUCGGAGUAGUCAGACUCCAUGUCAUUCCGCCCGAAGAACCAUCCGAAUCUUCAACAUUAAUUACAGCCACAGGUUCAAAUGUGUAUGGAAGUGUUCCUCCAUCUUUCUGAUCAACCAAUAUCGCUAUUUUUUCAUCAGAUGAGGAUAAAUACAAGAAAUCACCGCUGGGCAUAAAUGGUGUCCCAUGUAAUCGAGCCUUUGUUGCGGCACGGUACACGUCACAUCAGCGCACGCAGGUCGAAAAUGGCAGCGACCCUGAAAAAGGUGGUGAUUCCGUGUCAGUUGUCUGGCUGUUGACCAAGAUGUCCCCUGGUUAGAUCACAAGCUAGCUGGUGGCUAGCACUUUGCAUCAUGGCAUUGAAAGCCCAGGAAAUUCUAUAAUUUUGCUGUUCAAACAUGUAGAGGCAUGCAGGCAUAAGUAAGAUGGUAUUUGAUGACAGUCGAUGACAGCAUGGUUUCAGCACAUUCAGCAGACACACUCAGCGUGUGUGAGAGUGAAGGGAAAGGAUUAAAUUUUCAAGUAUUUGAAACCUCAUUUUAUAUAAUUUGAUAUGUUUUCCUGGGCGGCACGAUGGAUCAGCUGGGAAGCGUUGGCCUCGCAGUUCUGAGGUCCCGGGUUUGAUCCCAGAUCCGCCUGUGUGGAGUUUGCAUGUUCUCUCCGUGCCUUCGUGAGUAUUCUCCGAGCACUCCAGUUUCCUCCCACAUCCCCAAAUCAUGCAACCUUAAUUGGACACUGUAGAUUGACCCUAGGUGUGAUUGUGAGUGUUGCUGUUUGUCUCUAUGUGGUCUGCGAUUGGCUGGCAACCAGUUUAGGGGGUACCCUGCCUCCUCCCCGAUGACAGCUGGGAUAGGCUGCAGUACUCUCCGUGACCCUUGUGAGGAUAAGCAGCUAAGAAAAUGGAUGGAUGGAAAAAUUGGUAGGGUUUUAACAACACAUUCAGUGGCAAAUUCAGAACACAUUCAUUUUCACUUUACAGUGAUUUUAGCAUGUACUGUAUGUAAUUAAUGUUUCUCAGACUUGUAGGACAGUCAAUAGUUUUAAAAUAUUAUUUGGUAUUAAUAUGACAAAAAGUGUACAACAAAAAAUGACAUGAUGAACAGUUUAAAUGUAUUUUCCCUAUUAACUGUCUCUUUGAGGUGCUUUAAAACACACUGCUUUAUCUCUUGAAUGAGAAGAAAAAGAAAAUAGUAGAUAAAAGUACUGAAUAACUAGUCUAAACUCACUGUCACUGUGCUUUCUAACAUUGCCACCUGUUGGUGUGAAAAAGUAACCGCUCCAAUAGUUGUAAUGGCACAAGACUACUGCCAAAAACUAAGGUUCGAAAGGUUCUUUUGGAUACUAACAGUUGAAACAAUUCUUUGUGCUUGUAUAUAGAGCCAUUAAUUACCCAAUCCUUCUAGAACACACCAUAUUAGAAAGGCGAUUCUUGGAUAUUGUUCUUAAUAUACAGUAUGUUUAUAGAAAUGGGAUUAUUGUUAUUAUAGGAUUAUUAUUUUACCUAAAAUACAGAGGGGUCUAUAUUAUAUGAUACCUUUAGAUUUCAUACUUUGUUUCUGUUAUUUUGUUUCACAUGUCCAGAGAAUACUGGAUUAAAAUUCUGUCUCGUUCCAUAUUUCUGAAAUCUAUUCCAUAUUUUUUUGUUAGAUAUUUUGGAAAGCUACUGUACAAUUUAUCCUGUUUUGUUGCCGUACAUAAUGUGUAGAAGAUGCUGUAUAACAUUUCUGUGUUGUUGUAUAAAGCCACUGGCCCUGCAAUGUUGUUGUUCUGUAUUUCUGGAAACCGCAUAAAUAUCCAUCCAUCCAUCCAUCCAUUUUCUUUUCCACUUUUCCUCACAAGGGUCGCGGGGAGUGCUGGAGCCUAUGCUUUACCAACUGAACCACCGUGCCGCCACUGCAUAAAUAUAAUACUGCAUAAGUUGUAGGCUGUUUUGAGUGAAAGCUCUUAUUUGCCUCAGAGGAUAAAGGCCAUCAUGCAAUUUAAAAUACAUCUUCUGCUCUUUCCAUGAGAUCACUCCCCCCAAACCGUGCAC